ensembl:lncRNA
CAGAUGUGCUGCACCUUUUGCCAAGUUAGUCCUCAAACAAUGGGUGAAGAUGAUAAGCUGAAAGGAGUAUUCUAAUCAAGCUGUGUGUGUUGUAGGAAAAAGCUAUUUUUACUAUUUUAAGUAUACAUUAUUUCUGUUGUGACUAGGCACUGCAGAUACUCCGAAGCACUGAAGAGGCGAGUUAAUAUGGUAUGUGUUUUUUAAAGAUAAGAAAUAUACAGACAAAUAAGAACAAACUAAUAAGUGCAGUUACAGCAUUAAUAGUUCGCUAGCAUACUGUUUGUAUUCAUCAUAUUUGUUUUUAUGAAUGCGAACGCGCUAUUGUGUAGUGGUAGAGCUUAGAAAAUGUAUUUUAUUUCUCUUAAAAAAGGAAAUACAGGGCUGAAUGACUUUCCCAUUUCUCAUUACACAUUACUUGUUUGUUGCAUGUUGAAUAUCACAGUGCAUCGCUUGAGAAUCAGUUAUGGAGUAUCUAUGAUACCCUCCAUUAGCCAUGUAAAGACUUUUUAAUAAAGGCUGCAUGGGGGAUUGCGCUGUGUGUGUGUGUGUGUGGAGGGGGGGGUGGUGCUCAGGAUCACUUUACACAGCAAUAUUUCACAGAGCAGCUUGCAUGAAACCUUGCUUUUGUUGGCAAUUAUUUGCUUAUUAAUUUUGAACCUCGUCCAAACAGCUCAAUAAAUAAACAAAUGCAUUUAAUGAAAUAAAUUGGUUCCAUGCCAAAAUAAUUGGUGAUAAAUCAUUCAAAGCAUGUGUAUGGAUUAUAAAUGCUCUGUCCCUAAUUUCCAUUAAAAAGGCAGUGCUCAAUUCUUAACAAUUGCUCUGGGCCCCAAACGGCAUCUGCUAAUCAAUAUGUAGGAGCGGAUUGUUUGGCAAAACAAACAAACUCUUGGGCAUGCUGUAGAAGUAAACAAAUCAUUUCUGGCCUUAAUAAAUCACCAUGUAUCCAUGGCAUCGUGAACUGGCUUCCUGCUCCCUUUAGGGUAACAUCUAGAAGCUGACAAGGAAACCUGCAUUGGAUGUUCAAGUGGGGAAGGUAGCGAUGAAGAAAAUCAACCUUGAUUAUGGAGGUCAUGGUGUGAAACCCGCACCUCCAUCCCCUCUGUCUCUGAGGCACUCGAUUGACUGAACUGAAGCUGUGGACAUGAUUGCAAUGUGUGUGUGUCUGUGUGUGUGUUAUGGUGGAACACAGUAAAAUCCAUUUUCAUCAUCGGGUUCUUCUUUUUCGCCUUUUGAAGCACACAUCAUUAUGACAAACUCCGGGGCUUCGCGCGCAGCAGUCGUUUGCUAUCGGGUUACCUCGCGUGUCGCUGAUGAGCCGAUUGUCCGUAUCCGUCCACAGGCUUUUUAUCCUUCAACACUAAACAGGUUGGAGCUCCACCGUGAUGGGUAUUUUGUCAUUAGCUGUCACGAGUGGAUAUGAAUGGCUCUCGGCUGUAUUCUGUCACGCAGUGACAUCUCUCUCAGGUGCCCGGUGAUGGAGGGUCUUUGUGAGGCUUCAUGUGUUCUUCUCAACGAUCCCAACGGUAACGCGCAGGACCCGCAGCGUCUGCUGCACGGGACACAUUAUAGUCAGUGACAAGGCUGUUAGUUAGUCACUGCGCAGGGGAAGCGCGCCUCCCUGUAAAUGCCGGUGGAGCUUUCCUUGGUUGGAUCGCUGAUUAAAAGGUAAGUCAAUGGAAGGUUCCUGAACAAAUAAAAUGGAACAAAAUGUGUCCCACGUUUUUUGUGCUCAAUAAUUCCGGUAGCAGCAAAACACCACCGGCGGCAUGGAGAGGUUCUUUUGGCAACCAGGAUUCUCUGUUGUGAAAAAAAAGGCGGGAAAUCCAAUUGAGUUCAAAGGAAAAUAAAGGAGUAAAAACAAAAACAAAUGACUCAAUUUUCCAGUAACUUCUGUAAACUAAAAAUAAUUUGGAACCCAAAUCAUACCAUUUUCUCAAUAAUGAUAGAUUUAGCGGGGAGCGGUUGUGGCGGGGAUAGGGUGUAAAAGGGGAAUCAAACUAAAUAAAGAAAAACAAACACCACCACUCAGGGAAAUUCACCCCGAGAAAUAAUGUAGAACGUACAAGGCUCACAAGUAAGUUUACUCGUUUGAGGCAGGAGACGCAGUUCACGGUUUUAGAAAAGUACAACUUUAUUUUAAAUACUUUCUAAUACUAAUAUUUUAAAAUCAGUGCAAUUUAAUUCAUUCCAAACAAAAAUCAAAAGAAAAUCAAUUAGAGGGCUGGAGCUGAGUGAUGGACAACUCUAGGUGUAAAGGGGGGUGGGAGCUACCAAAUCAAGAAAACAAACUCAAAACCACCCCACGUAGUCAGGAACCCGCUUCCCAGGACACAGCAAACAAAGGGGUAGGACACCACCACCCGGCCACCCGCCACCGCCAGUCUCCAGCAACUAUAAAGACAGAAACAAAUUAGUGGCGAGUUAUAAGACAAAAACUCAUUACAAAAUUACAAUAAAAUAACAUCCAUCCAACAAUACACAAGGACACAGCCCUGGUUAAAACACUGGCAGGAUAAGAGUUUAAAAGGAGCCGAUCUGGCGCACGGUAUAAACCGGAGAUGCCAGACAGUUCAGCGUGGCGACCGAUAUUCGGCACAACAGACCGCACGCAGUCCUACACAGCGCAACGUUUCCAGGGGCGAGAUAAAGUGGGGCGUACUGGAGCACAGAGCGGCAUGUGUCUAGUCGCCCGGAAAUGACGCACCAAACAGAAGAGAGGUGCAAGAGGAAGAGCUGGUGGAGGCGUGCCACUUUUAAACCAGCCCUCCUCAUUGCAGCCACCUGGUGUUAAUUGCCAGCAGGGUGGCACCUCUAUACUGCUACACGGUCACAGGCAAACGGCCACCGACAGACGGCAUCGGACCCGUCUCAGGGCGGCCAUGUGACACAGCGCGAGAGGAUAAACUAACAAGCGGCGUAGCCUCGGGUGAAGACGGCGUAGAGUUACGUGCCAGGAUGUUGCCCGCCGCGUGAUGAUCGCCCUUCAUCUCAAGCCGCAGCCCCCCUGCCCACCUCUGCCUUGAUUAAUGAAGGAAGAGCAGAUGCUACGGAGGCCGAGCAGAGGGAGCAAAGCGCUACCUAGCGGCGCCUCACGUGGCGACCGCCUUCAUUUCCUCACCUUUGCGUCAGCCACGUCUGGCUGCGGCCGUGAGCGUCGGCAGCGCACGCCUCUGAAUGCUGUGGACACGGGGCGAUCACACGCCGGUACAUCUGAGAGUCCUUCGUCUGUGUUUGUGUGAUAGCGGGUGUGAAAUGGUCGCGCGAGAGACAGAGAAACAGAAUCAAAGAGACAGCCAGCUGGGAUUGCAUUAUAAAUUCAUAUAAAUGGCGAAGAAGAAAAAUACUUUGAACAAUGUGAAGAUUAACUAAUCAUAGAGGUAUAUUUUCCUAGCUCGAUUUCUCACAAAUCGUCACUCUAAUGAGUUUUUCUAUUCUGAAUUCCCUAAUUUUUCAUGUUGGCUGUAGGGAUGUCAACAUAUGACUUUUUGUUAAUCAUUUUUAGUUAAGGCAGGUGUGCCCCCCCCUACCUGAUAAUUGUUCAAAUGCACAGCAUGAAAAACACUUCCAAUCAUGCAAAUGAGCCGUGUGUUGUGAACCACUCCGUUAUUUAUAUGGGGGAAUGAUAUAUUAAUAGAUUUCUAAUUUGUAAUUACUUCGGAAAGUACAAAAACAUUCUCCACAUACAUUCUCUGCAAAUAACUUUGUGUGCACCAGGCACGUGCACAGAUAUUUUGGGGGGCAGGGGCUCAAACCAAACCAAAAGGUCACCCAUAGCCAAAAUUAUUCAGGAAAUUAUAAAUAUGAAUAAUAAAAAAAUAAAAAAACACAGUAGCAUAUAUUCCCGGUCCUUCUGCUUUUGGAGUCUGUCUUUUUUUGCAAAUUUUGCAAAUGAGAUAAAUCAAUGUUGUGCCUAAUAAUCGACUUACAUAUAAUCUCUAUCACGAUGAAAACACACACAUUUCUUUUUACUGUUUUCUGACAGAGUUUAAGCAUAAGCAGCGUUACACUAAUAAUAUACCACAAUAUACCUCACCAGACUGUCAUGUAGCUCAACUUAAGACCUACCUUUCAUUUCAAUAACUGUAUUAAAUUAAACAAAACUGGUGAAAAUGUCUUUUGUAAAAAAGUAAAACUCUCUGUCUGUCUGUACCUUCCUCCCUCUCUCUCUUCAUUAAACAUGACAAACGUCAAUAAACAGCUCGACAAAGUUUAUUAUUGGUUUAUUUUUUAGGAAACGUCGUACCACUUGCGACUUAAUGUUUGGGGGAAUUAAUGAGAGAGAGUAAUUUUUAUUCUUAAAUAUUGAUGAAUGAAGAAAAAGUUUUCUCACCCAGGUGCAAAAGGGCAGGUCCUCGAGCAGCACUAGGUGUCUAUCUGUGCACGUGCCUGGUUUGCACGUAUGCAAACAUUGCUGGCAUGUGCACAUAUACUAAGACAUAAGACAAUAAGUGUCUGUCUGUCAAAUGUUCCAGAGGACAGGAGACGGAAGAACAGUGAAAAUGUGAACUGAUAAAGAAAUGUUUGACUGACGUGCUGGUGAAAGAUUUUCCUGCCUGUCACUGAGUAAUGAAUCACUCUUGAAUUAUUGCCCUUGAGGGAUCACGCCUCCUGCUGCCAUUUCUUUCCCCGGGUUACGCCUCUCCUUUUAUUUCAUGCAUUUAUUUGUUUAUUUAUUUCAUCACCCGGGCAUAAAUUAUUUCUUACUUAAUUUAAGACGAGUAUCCUCCUAACCACUUUCAAACUCCUCGUCCUGCAAGGGCAUCCGAUGCGGGUGAGUGGUGUGUCGAUGACCAGGAGGCCAAACCCCCCCCACAAAGCUGCAGGACAGAAAAGGCACACUAUCAAGGCAGCAAACAAGUAUUUUGUACAUGUUUCCAAUUACAGCCCUGCAUAGUGCGCCGACGGGUUAUUUACGACAAAGCCUAAUUUACACGUGAGGCAUUUUGAUGGGGAGGUGUAUAAAUACAUCAGCGGGCCGGACAAAAUGAAGCAGUAAAACAAGCAGCAGCGUCAACGGCGUGAGAGUGACCGCGCCGGUCGGCGGCCGGAUGUGUUGCCUGCGCCGACUGAUUGCGUCCUCCUUGGAGCUGGCGCUCUUUUCGCGUGUGUGUGUGUGUGUGUGGAGCUGCAGACGAGCCGGCUGCUUGGAAAGGUCAGGUCUAAAUUGGGAGAGGGAGACGGAUCUUUCAAGGUUUAAGUAUCAAAUCUGGAAAGUCACUCCGGCGACCUAUACGCAGGAGAGUGAGAGAGACUCGUCGUCCUCACCACACCGAACUAACGAACCUCUCCACAAAUGCAAUUUACGGCGUUUUUUUUUGUUUUUCAUCUUUAGACUUGUUGUUGUGACUGCUCUGCUGCAUGACAAUGAACAUGCAUCAGUAUCUAAAUAUAUAGUUUAGCUGAAUUAACCACCAAUUUGCAAAUCUGCACACCACGAGUCGUCGUUUCCAUCAAAACAACCUUUUCACAGUGACAUGAUAAUGUUUUCUCACGUGAACAGAAGCUAGUGGGACAUAGUCACCCAGAGUGGCACUCGUUCAUUUAUGUUCUAUUUAUGUUCCUCCCUUUAAUUGAAUUUUCUGUUAUGGUCCUGGCCCGUUGAUAUAAAUCAUGCCUCUCAAUCAGUCAGGAUAGCAAAGUGACGGCUCCUGCAACAGAUGUACGAGUAGGGCGGGAAGGGGGCAAGAGGGGGCCAGGAUUUAUGUGUGGAAGGAAAAACAUGACCCUGGGUCUCUGCUACCUGUCAUCAGAGCAUCUUUUCCAUUACCUUGUAGAUUCAUAAGGACUGUAUAUUUCUAUCAGGGUCCUUGAGCAAAUUCAAGACUGACACAAACUCAAAAGAUUUCAUUGCAUUCUAUUUUUCUCAGUACAUAUAAGUGUUUAUUCAUGAAAUUCAUGAAAAAAAACAAGUGCUAUUUUGCUGUAAGGAGGCAAACUCGUACCGAAGGGUUUCAUUUGAAGUCAAUGUGGUCAAAACAUAUGUUGAAACAUCACUAAUUGCAGUUCGGAGUUUGAGUGAAGUUACAAAAAAGAUAUUAUAAUGUUGGAUGUUUGAGGAUAGUGUUGUGAAUAGCUUUUUAUUCAUCAUUCACAACACGGGAAAUAGAAAGAGCGCGAUGGACAUGAACCUGAGAUUAAAACGCCUCCGUUCUUUGCUGUCGCGUUUUCAUCGUCAGCUGUUCAACCACCAUUGAAUAAGCGUCAGGCAUUUCUGACUCCUGGUCCCCUAAUCAACAUCCAUACAAACCCAUUUGCUAAGAGAAAUUGAUUUUAAUGCAUAUGGAGUGAUAUAAACUUCUUCACAGAGUCACACCAACAGGUCGUGAAUGAUGUUUCUUUCUGCACCGUGUUGUGUAUCGCGUGAACUGACAUGUGUGACUGAUCAAUUGUUUGUUAGCAGUCAAUCAUUAACGGCUUGCCACGUUGUUCACCACGUCCAAUAAAAACGAAUUUCACAGACAGAUAAUACUAAUUGCGUGUAAUGAUUGGUGAUCACUUUUCAAUAACAACACAGUUUUGCUUCAAUAAGAGGAGACAAAUUCAUCCCAAUUAAAGCGCUGCGGCCCAUUGAAUCAGUCCAUAAAUAUAACUUGUAUUAACGGAAUGAAUCCACACAAUAACAAUUUAAUAUUGUUUGGUAGUUUUGUGAAUGCUUUUUAUUAUUCUGUAUCAAUAAGGCUAAUGGAUGGAGAGCAAGGAAAAUUAUUUAUUGACCUCAGGAGCAAAAUGCCUCACUUAUUUGCUGUGGCCAUUAUAUUGUAGCAGCCAUUUUUGGGGAAUCACACACACAAGUGACUCUAAACAAACUAACAACAACAAAUUGAUUGAAUUGCCUUAUCCGACUGAGGUGACGCCUUGUUAGCGAAAAACGGAACUAAGAUGCCUACAAAUUCAAUAUAAUAAUUUCGCCAAUACCAGCCACCAUACACACUACGGGAUCCGCACACAUCGCCUUUUCCCCGGCAUCCAAUCCCGUCUCAGUGUUCUUCAAUAAAGUCUCCUCUGACAAACAUGAUGUAGAGCCACUCUGCUUCACACAACGACUGGAUGAUAAAAUGUUGCCAUCCUGGCAGUUGACUUGCCAAUCCGAAAUAGAAAAAAAAAAAAGUUAGAGUGGCCAGGUUUAUGAUACAGCCUUCACUGACGCUGUAUUUCACGCUUUAACACCUGCUUCCACGCUCGCAUACGCACUACCUCUCCCUUCCCAGCUAGGACAGAAGUCCAAUUAACUAAUAAGUAGAUGUGGUGUAACGCCUUUUGUGUCUUGAUGAUUGAUGGUGCUGGUUCCAUCAUUAACCUCUGCAUAUAGGCCCUCAGAGAAGAUCUGACUGGAGGCCCACUCAGCAUAUGGAUUCUAAAUACAAUAUUCCCUAAUUUACAAACAUUGUCUCACCACAGACUGUAUUUUUAAACAUCUGAACUUUGUUUGACUUGCUCUACCUUUUUCCCCAGGCCCUUUUUGAGCCAAUAUAGUGCCGUUUGAAAAGGAUAUUGACACCAGCUCCUUCUCUGCAGCACUGAAAUCGUGGCAUGAUUAUGAUCUAACGGCCUACUCAGCCUGCCUGUAGCACCCUCACAGAAAAAAAUGUUUGACACUGCACUAAUCUGCCAUACACACUCACCUGCAGUCCAAGCAACAACUAAAAUGUCUUCCACUCAGGUCAUAGUGCAGAAUCAAUGAUUUGUAGGAAAGAAAUUGUAGUUUAAAAACCUAAUAUGACCACUUUAAUGUCAUGUGUGGUCAUGUGGUCAUAAAUGGACGUUGUGUAGAUCAAAAUAAAUGACAAUACAAGUUUCUAAGUGGCUCGACGAGCGUUUAGGAGAAAUGAAACUAACCAGACAACUAAAAACAAGAAACUAAAUCAGACUAAAUCCUGCAGGUCCAUUAGAAACCCCCUCAGCUCUGAUUCCAGCGGGGGCCUCCAACAGCAGGCCGGCCCACGGUGGACCGAUUACCAGAUUCGCGGAUCCGCCUCCGCUGCCAGGUUCAGCCGGGAGCCGGAGCUCCGGAGGGAGGUGCCUCGCCUUGCCGGUCCCACGGCAACACCGCGACCACGCCGCAUUGCCUGCUGGAGGGACGGGAGGCCACAGGGACUGCAAGACUCCUCACAGGAACAAAGUACUCCUUAGUAAAUGACUGUGUAUAAUGGGAUCUGUCUGUGAAGAGCGUGACAACAAAAUGUUUCCUUUAAGAGAGUUGGGCUGGCGGUUUUACCGGGUUCCAAGCCUGCUCAACUGCUAACGGAGCUGAAAAGGAGCUUGUGUUGGAAAGAAACUGCAACCUACUGUUCACUUUGGAGAUGGGGAGGUGUAUUUUUUUUUUAUAUGUUAUUGCAGGUAUCUGUUUUUACACCAGCCAGCCUUUUCUUUUGAUCAAGUACAAUAAAACCGAUUGGGCGAUACAAUAUAAAAAUUUGAGAGGUGGAAUUUGACACAGUAGAAUAAAAAAGAUACAGAAAUUAGUCAUCCAGCAGUAGUUGAGAUCAGAGAGAAUUGCAUCCACAUGAAUUAUAAGAUGUACUACUGAACCGUCUCUCUCUGUCCAACACAUUUAAAGCACCACUGAUAAGGUUUAGUGGUGUUUUACUGUGUGAUUUGGAUCUGUGAGGCCAUGCAGGGGUAGAAAGAGGAGAGCUAUGACUUCUCACUGAUGUUUUAUUUCCAAUUAUCUUCAUGCUGAGUGGAGACAGAAAUGGCAAACACAGGCCAAAUGGUGCGUUUCAUAUGUGGUCAAACUCACUUCUUACCUCAGGCUGUGAAUAUAAGCUGAGCGUGUGCACCCUAGUCAGGUUAUUACUGUCUUGUAUUAGCUCAUUCACGAUGACAAGAAUAUGACCACAUAGCUCACUCUUAUUUUAAAAUAUAUUUACUCUGUUCCUAAGCUCUCCGUUAUAGUUGAAAUCUCUCUAAUAUAUUAUUAUGGCUCCAAUUAGCAACCAGCAACACAGCUUGUGUUGAUCGAAUGUGUCAUCUGUUGUGUGAUGUCACAUCAUCGCCAACGCCUUGGUUGCAUUGCACGUCUGCGUUGCAGCCAGAUGGUGACCACUGGUUCUGAAAAGUGAAGCUAAUGCAGAUGUGUCUUCACAUGCAUACUCCUUAGUGGUUGGCAGAAGUCGACUCUACUGGAUUCCACACCAUGUCUGAUUCUAUAGAAUCCUAUAAGAAAAUAUCCUUGAUGUAUUACCCUCAGUAAGCAUUGAAAAUAUGAAUUUAUGGUAUCAAUCUUUAGUUUCAAGUCUUCUCCAAUACAGCAUGAUGUUCAUUUAGUUGGAAAAUAGAACAAGCAGCGAAGCAGGGUUUAGGGUAGGGGGGGUUCCUUGGUGCAUGACAGGUCGCUACCACCACCAGAGCCGUCUUUAUGUCCGACCGGCACUGGGCUCAGCUCACAGCUAACAUACAUUUUACUUUAUGUAAAUACUGAAAAUGAAAACAAAGUAACAUAACAAGGCAACCUAACAAUGUUGAGAAUGCAACGCUGUCAAGAGUUCAACGCCGUCAAGAAGAAGAACGCUGUUGGAGCGCAAUUACUAAUGGAAACAUAUCAAAUAGGAUUAGAAAAUAUCAGCAAGGUUUAGUUGUGUUUGUUUUCUGGUGUAAUAUUGAAACCUUUUUAUUACACCGUUUAAGACCAAAUGCCGGUUAUAGUGUUAAUACACUCGUCCCUAUCAAGUCCCUCUUGGCCCAACCUGUUAAACCUGAAGAAACACCUGCUCUGUUCAUGCGUUACAUGUCAUUUAGCUGACGCUUUUAAGCAAAGCGACUUACUAUAAGUACAUUUCAGCCAUAAAGAUACAAACCCAGAAGUACAAGAAACAUAAAAGUGCAAUUUCAUCAAAUAAGCCGAUUAGAACUUGCUAAUAGAUAACAGCCAUAAUAAGUACAACUAAUGUGCAACAAUUUAUUUUUUUACUAUGUCUGAAGAGGUGUGCCUUUAGUUUGCGGCAAAGAAUGUAAAGACUCUGCAAGCCGAGGCUGACAUAAGGACUGACACCCAAAACAGCGCGGGAGUUUCUGCUAGUGUGAAGGUGUUUGUUCACUACCCUCCUCUGGAAAUAAAAGUCUACCUCCACAACAAGUAAAGAUUCAAGACGACAGAGAGGCGACUCUGAAAGAAAAGGGUAGGAACGCUACUCCUCUUUUCUCUGCUCCUAAUGGCCGUCUCUCACUUCCUUUCCAAGUUGCUUUCACGAGGCAGAUGGAAUUUCGUUUCUUCUGAUUGAAAAACGAUGGAGUUUUGAAAGCAGGAUGGACAAUAAACGCAGCCCAGUUGUUGCAAGAAACAAAUGCUGACAGAUUCACCAAAUUAGCAGAAGCUGCCAUUUCUGAAACAAACCAAACAACAUUGUAACGCCGCACCGUUUUCUGAUUAGGGGCAGCUUUACAUGAGUGGUUUGAGAAAAGGGGGAACUGGUAGAGAGACAGGAGACGGGUUUUUGUCAAUGUGAUUGACCAAACAUCAAGGCGUUACAACAUGUGAGACUCGGGAUGUUGUUACUGUGAGAAAUGCUUGUAUUGUCGAGCACUGUGAGCGUGUGAGUUUACACAAGACGUGGUUCAUGACAUAACGUGUGUCCAGCCAUUACCAUGACAGACAGACAAUAACACACUCUUUGUCUUCCCAGUUUGGAUAAAUCCAUCUGAGAGCAAUUACAGUCCACCGGCCAAUUGUCAAAAAAGCAAAGAAGCAUCGAUCAUCAUGGGGAAAGGGGAGAGCGACGAGAAGCACGGGGCCCCGAUUCAGACUCAGCCCCGCAAACACGAGGAGGACAAGAGCCCAUGCGGGUGCUGCUCGAAGAGCACAUACGAGGGCUGGGUGGAGUGUUUGAGCUGUACGCAAAUCUUGUGCGAGGCUCUGGGAAGCAUGAUCCCGUAAGACUCCGAUCUUCCUUGGGAGACUUGAAUUCCUUUUUUUAAGGAUGAAAAAAUAUAUAUUAAAACCAUUUCCUGCUUGGCUGAGGUGGAAUCAAUGCAAAUACAAAAAUGUAUGUAUACAUUUUAAAUGGUGGAGGUGGGUUAUUUUGCCUCUUUCAAUCUUUGUAAAUACACUGCAAUUAAGAUUCAGCCAAAGGCGAAGAAUAUACAUUUAUUUAUUUAGUUAUAAUAUUUUCUUUCUAAUUGCAGAGGCUGACCUUGAACAUCUGGACCAGUUUUUCCAGGCUGCAUUGAAUCUCAGCGUCCACCAGCGGCUUUAGUGUGAUUUAUGCCAUUUGGAGAUGAAAAUAUUCACUUUGAUUGUACGUUUGUACUACGUUUGAUCACCUAAUAAACUUGCUUUAUAACUCAAUCCAGGAGUCAAUAUUCGCACAAUUCACUAUCUGUGUAUAAAACAAACUAGAGAUUAUUUUCAUGAAUUGAUUGUCACUGUUUAAAAAUAUUAUAUGUGUCUGUCCAAAAUGUAAAAAUUGCAAUAAUCCGAUUCAAGAGAAAUUGCCAUAGCAUAAUGAUUAGUUAUAACCAAUGAGCCCAAUGGUGUUUAGUGAGCUCACAGUGACUUUGAAUCACUUCAGUCUUGAGUAGGGGGGGACAUUUUAGCCAAAUUUGAAUAAAUAGUCUCAAGUGUUUGCUGAGAUAUCACGAGAAUGAACUGGACUGAUGACCCCAAAACCCAAAUUGGUCCAGCCAAGUCUGUCGCCGACACGGAGGAAUAAACAAGUGAACCUGACAACGUGGAGAGGAAUGUCACAGUGAAACCACAGUAUCUUUUCUAGAAUAAUGAGUAGGAAGACCAGACGGUAGUGGUGAAACAAUGAAAACUGAAACUGCUGACCUGUGGUUAGUUAAAAGCCUUAGAUAAGAUGUCUGUGCAAGUACAGAAUACAAGAUAGGAGCAGGUGUGCUGUAAUGUUCAAAGGUGAGCAGUGGAAAAGCCAUGAGCCAACAGUGGUAAGAUGAUCUGUUUUUGUUUCCUGUCUUAUUUUGUAGUUUUCUGCUUCUUGUCUGCCUGGGUAACUUCACUUCCUUCCUUGUCCUGUCAUCGUCUGUGAUUGUCUGAUUGUUUCCACCUGUGUCCAAUCACCGCACCUCCCUAGUGUAUUUAAGCUGUGUGUGUCUCCUGUCACUUGUCGCGUCAUUGUCAAAUCGUCCUGGAUGUUCGUAGUUCCUGCCUGCCGGUUUUCCCCUGGUUCUUGUGUGUUUUUGCCCGUUGGCCUUUUGCGUUUGCCGUUGUGACUAUUCAAGUCUUCUUUUGUUACCCAACGUCUGCGUUUGAGUCCUGCCUCCCCGCAUCCCUGACAUGAUCGUGUAAUACAAGUGAACAUACUGUUUGUACUGAGGGAUGAAAAGAUGAUAACCCUAACCCUGAGCAAAAAAGCCCAAAUUUCCUACAUGAGAAGUUAAUAGCUGUGAAUUGUUUAAUUUUCCACUUAAUAAAAACACGUGGAACAGCAGUGGAAUGAGACCAAGUACAUUUCCACACAGAAAAGGCGAUAACCUGAAAAAAAUAACCGUUUUAAAUUUUUGCGGUUUUGAAGUAGCCGAGGCGUUGUGGCAGCUCUCUGCUAAACUGUUCCUAGCGUGACAAUAAACCGUCAAUAAACACUUAAAAUACAAAUACAACUUAAGUGCUUUAUAUUGUACUUGCACUUCCUUCCACUUAUUGUAAAAUUAGCUUUUAAAAAAAAAGGCUCAUUUUGCAUUUGAGCAUGUGAUCAAGUUGAACAAAGCAAAAAGUUAAGUCACUGAAAUUUUUUUUACUGAAAAGUAAAAGGAGAUUCUGUGUACAGCCAAUGGCCGUUGAAUGGCAGCGUGAUCAUGAUUUUCAUCACAGCUUCAUAAUUUAGGUGUUCUUGGUCCAAUCAUGUUUUUUUUUAUUUUUACAUUGUUAAAAUAUAUGGAAAGUUAUUCUCAUGACUGUUUCAAAUUGAGCUCAGUGAGAUCGACAAUAAGUUUCCCGACGUGGAGUUUCCAUUUGGAUUUAUUUUUCUGAUUGAAUCACCAUCAAGUAUUAAUAUAGAAAUCAUCCAGGAGUUUCAAGAUCAGGCCUCAUUCGCAAUGUCUUACUGGAUGAGUAGUUCCUUAAGAAGAGUAAUACACAGUUCUUUUUUAUUAUAUCAUGCUCUCGUAAAUGGAGUUUCGACACAACAAGUCAGUUCACAUGUGUUGGAGGCCACCUGUAACUGAACUGAGGUAUAAUAAUGUUCCUGGCCCUGUUGUGAGAGGAGGAAUGUUCCAGGCAGUCUACAUGUAGCUGUCUGACAUUUUUUCCUUUUGCAAGGAGAUACACGGAGAAAGACAUAUUUGAUUCAGAGCCUUUAUUCUUAUUUACCGAUCGCAAAAUCUUCACUGGCUGCACAUAGGCAAUGUGCACAUAAUAAACCCUAGGUGGGUCGGUAGACUGAGCUAAACUUGAUAUUUUACAUUAUAGUUAUUAUAAUAAGUUAUUCAACUUCCCUGGAAACAGUAACGGAUCUAUUUAAAACUUUCUUCCAAACAAACAUAUACAAGUGUUCAGUGCUACCGUGCGAGUGCUUCAUGAUUUGCAGGGAAAAUCAUCAUUAAAUCAAUGUUUAACCGUAAAAAGGUUUGAUGCUGCAUAAUCACCAGUGCUUAACGCCUUUUCUCACACUUUUUCUUUACUUUACGUUGGAAAAGGGAAUUUGUUUACUGUGAAAUUGGAGCACCGUCCGCUCUCACUCAGCAUGGCAGCGGAGCAGAAGACGACAUUCCAUCCUGACACAUUGACAGACAAACGCGGAUGAAAACCAGUCACACUGUUGUAAAAGUCCAGAUUUCUUUUCGAAGAGGCCAAACCAGUUUUGAGGCAGAGCUUCCUGUCAUCUGCUGUGGCAUUCGUUGUCAAAAUAAAUGCAGGUAACGGGUGCACCAUCAGGCAGAAUAAGGCACUGUCAGGGGUGACAUAUUCUUCCUCCAUCAAUUUCCUCAAAGGCACUGCUCUACAUUUUCUUCAAGCGCCGGCUGUGGUUGCACUCCAAAAAUGGGCUUUGAGAAGCGUCCGAGCAAUUCCGAAAACAGUGCGUGCGUAUGAGUGCAAUAACAGCCGACAGUGUUCAUCCUGGGAACGUGGAGGCUGUGUGGGCUCCUGCUCUGCUGAGACUGCGGGAGGGGGGAAAAGGCAAAAUCUCCCGUUGUGCCCUGCUGCCGAGCGCAAAUUGAAAUAUAAAAUAGAUUUUGCUUCACUUAAAAAAAGUUUAAACAUAAUGUUACAGGCUGAGAAUGCAAAGUCACUAGUGGUAUUUUGCCUUCUAAUCGUCGUAUGUUAAGCUCCACAAAAAGGCAUCCAUCAUGUGUCAUGCAGUAGUUCACCUCUUCUACACUUUGAUUCCUUCGCUUUAACCUUCAUGUGAAUUACUGCCCUGACAGAGAGCUCUAAUUUUUUCAUUAAAAUCUUAAAAAAUAUGAUUUGGGCUUUUUCAUGAGGGAACCAGUGCAAUUCUUACUUUCUGGUUGCCAUCCAAAAAUACAGAAAGCAUUUUAAUCAAAUUAAGGUAACUUUAAAAGUAAUUUGAUCCUGACUUGAUGAAAUAGUUCAUUUAUAACUGUUGUGAUUAGCCAACAGCUUC